UCUGGCACUAGAGGUGUUGGAGGUAUGACUGCUGUGACACAUAUGCAUCAGCCAGUAUGUUACAGAGAGGGGAAAUGCUGUACCUCUGCUCUGUACUGUUACCUAGGAAUAUCUAAAUGAUUAGUAGCCUAACAUU